AGUGAACGCUGGCGGUAGGCCUAACACAUGCAAGUCGAACGGCAGCACAGUAAGAGUUUGCUCUUACGGGUGGCGAGUGGCGGACGGGUGAGGAAUACAUCGGAAUCUACUUUUUCGUGGGGGAUAACGUAGGGAAACUUACGCUAAUACCGCAUACGACCUACGGGUGAAAGCAGGGGAUCUUCGGACCUUGCGCGAUUGAAUGAGCCGAUGUCGGAUUAGCUAGUUGGCGGGGUAAAGGCCCACCAAGGCGACGAUCCGUAGCUGGUCUGAGAGGAUGAUCAGCCACACUGGAACUGAGACACGGUCCAGACUCCUACGGGAGGCAGCAGUGGGGAAUAUUGGACAAUGGGCGCAAGCCUGAUCCAGCCAUACCGCGUGGGUGAAGAAGGCCUUCGGGUUGUAAAGCCCUUUUGUUGGGAAAGAAAAGCAGAAGGUUAAUACCCCGCUGUUCUGACGGUACCCAAAGAAUAAGCACCGGCUAACUUCGUG
rnacentral:rRNA from 1 species